AUAUAUAGUACUCCAUACAACAUUAAAAAGCUACUACUACUAAUUUUCGAGAGCCCCAACCACAAUAUUUAUUAUUCAAUAAACACAACAUAAUAUAAAUACAGAGAGGCAUUCAUUUUUAGGAUUUCAGCCGCUGCCUUUGAAUUCUAGAGUGUUCUCCACUUCUCCCAAAAUUCUCUCUCAUUAGACCCGCCGUUCUCACUUUGCAGAUCCAGCCAUCCAUACAUCUCUCAUUUUAGGGUAUACGCAUGACCGGCGCCGCUAUCUCCAGACACCAGAUCUUCCAUUUUCCUCUUCUCCCUCGUCUGCAUACUCUUCCCCUUCAAUUCCAGCCUUCUCCAUAUUCACCUUCUUCCAGCCUUCUCCAUAUUCCCUUUUCCUCUUCUCCCUCGUCUGCAUCGUUUUCUUUGGCCACUCCCAAAAAUAAAACCCUAACUUACGCCCCCUCUCACGGUCUCACCUCUUCUCUCUGAACACCUAAAUUUCAGAAUCGGACAAAAAUACUGACAGCGAAAAAGGCGAAGCAGCUGUUAACGCCACCACAUCUUCGUAUGGUGGUGGGGAGCCGGAGUGAAGAUCUAUUUUUUUACAUUUAUUAGUUUUUUGUCUUUUAAUUUUUAAUUUUUUUUUGUUUUUAUAGUAUCAUUUUUGUAGAUCUAUGAAUAUCAUUUGAAAAGAAUAAGUUUUUUUUUGCUGCUGAUGAGCUUUUUUUGUUCAUAGCAUCAUCAAUAGAUCUAUGAAUAUCAUUUUUUUGUUUUUAUGAACAUUUAUUUCGUAGAUCUGAUUUUGGCAUUAUUUUUUGGCAUCUGUUUUUGUCAUUUGAUUUUUGUAGAUCUAUGAACAUUAUUUUGGCAUCUGAUUUUAGUAUUAUUUUUUGGUAUCUGAUUUUCGUAGAUCUAUGAACAUCUUUUUUUAUCGCAUGUAGAUCUAUGAAUAUCCACACAAAUUCAUUAUCCUUCGACAGUGUUUGUUACUGAUUUACAUUCUCGUUUAUUUUUACAACUUCCUAAACCUGCAGAGUAAACUUUGUUUGGUUACCUAUAUUUUGUAGGUGCUGCUCUCGGCGCUGGAUGAACAUCGAGGAAGUGAGGAAGUGAAGAUGGAUAUUAUGUGGUAUCACUAUUGGGUGAAGGCAAAUUCACUACCGGUGAUUUGUGUGAAGCACUCAUUUUCUUGAUAAAAAGAUCUGACGUGCAAUACUUCCUGCUGCAUUGAGAGAUUUUAGUGUUGAUCUGCUGAGAAAAUAAAAGUAAAUAGCAAAAAACUGAACAAAAUAAAAAAGAAAUUUUGAAUAACAAAAAUUAAAGAGAAAUUUUGCAGGAAUUUACCACAUAAAAAACAUACAAAAGAUUUAGAAUAAUCGAGAUUAGAAAGAGAGAAUAAUCAAGAUUAGAGAGAGAAAGUUUCAGUGGUGAAAAUGUAGUCUGAAAUAAAUUUGAUAUUUAUAGGCUCAAGUGAUCUGCAAAUCGACUCCAGAUGAAAGUAUAGAAAAGUUUCAGAGGAAAACAUAUUUAUAUGAACAAAAAAAUUUCGGAGAAGAGAAAAUGGCUUGUUGAAAAACUUCAGAUUAAAUCGUAAAAAAAGAGCAGAGCUUAAAAUCGGAUAGCUCAAGUGUGGGUUAGCAGCUGAUGAAUUGCUAUUUAUAGAGAAAGAAAGCAAUAAUUUGGGUUCCAAAAAAUUUAAAAUUCAAAUGUGGGCUGUACUGUUGGAGCCAAAACUGCCUGCAUUCUCAAACCCAGCGGAUAAGAAUCAGAAAGAUACAUUGGGCCAAUUGAUGUGGCUCUUGGCGGGAGCACACUAUCCUAGAAUUCUAAGCUUUAAUAUAUGUAUAGAUAGAUAGAUAGAUAGGGUUGGGGUGUGUUGGGCCAUUACAUUGGGCCGAUUUGUAUUUAAUUAUGUUGGGCCUCUGUUUUUUUUAAAGAAUGGGCUGCAUAUGUUUAAGUAUGGGCUAUCACUAUUUAAUAUAAAUGGGCUGCCUUCUUAUACUAA